rnacentral:rRNA from 1 species
UACGUAGGGAGCAAGCGUUGUCCGGAAUCAUUGGGCGUAAAGCGCGCGUAGGUGGCCAUUUAAGUCCGCUGUGAAAGUCAAAGGCUCAACCUUUGAAAGCCGGUGGAUACUGGAUGGCUAGAGUACGGAAGAGGCGAGUGGAAUUCCUGGUGUAGCGGUGGAAUGCGCAGAUAUCAGGAGGGACACCAAUAGCGAAGGCAGCUCGCUGGGACGUUACUGACACUGAGGCGCGAAAGCGUGGGGAGCAAACAGG